rnacentral:rRNA from 1 species
UACGUAGGGCGCAAGCGUUGUCCGGAAUUAUUGGGCGUAAAGAGCUCGUAGGCGGCUUGUCACGUCGGGGGUGAAAGCCCGGGGCUUAACCCCGGGUCUGCAUUCGAUACGGGCUGGCUAGAGUGUGGUAGGGGAGAUCGGAAUUCCUGGUGUAGCGGUGAAGUGCGCAGAUAUCAGGAGGAACACCGGUGGCGAAGGCGGAUCUCUGGGCCAUUACUGACGCUGAGGAGCGAAAGCGUGGGGAGCGAACAGG